rnacentral:lncRNA from 1 species
AUCCAUAAUUAUCUCACACAAUUUUGGCUUUAUAAACUUGUAGUGCUAUAAUUUUCUGUCUUUUCUUUGCACCAUUGUUUUGAAAGACUGCAGUGUGUUCUUUAUUUUCCCUGCACUAGGACUGCCAUCACCCUGCAUAUCACAUCCACUAUAUCAUAUUAAUGGCUGCCAGCUCAACAGUUUGAUACUCAGUCCCAUAUAUCAAAUGCUGAUAUAAUCCAUUGCUGUACGGUAUAUUUCAUUUGCAUUUAUCUUUUCCAUAUCCAGCACUCUUUUAUCACUCUUUCGGCAGCCCCUCUUCUCCCCCUCCCCCCGUUUAUUCUCCCUGGCACAUAUCUAUACAUUCUUCUUGACUGCGUUAUUAAUAAUCCCUACAAAGACCUUUCUCCCCCUUUUACCUUUUCCCUCUCGGUAACUGACAGCUUCUUACAAUGUGGCCUUUUAAUGCGGUAGAGUGGGGCCUGAAUGAGGAUGUUUCUUUGUUAUUUUCACAGACAUUAGCAUAGCUGCCUGAGCUGGGACUCAGGCACUUUCUCUAGAUAUGAUUUAUGACAUCAAUCCAAUUUAUGGCCAUUUAAAGGAAUGCUGAACUGGCUGUAAAUCAGCAAAAGCACAUAAAAUACUCAUGAGAACCGCUGGAAUCCAUCUGCAUCAGCCUCUAUCACCUGUAACAGCAGCCAAUCAGCAUCAAAGGAAUGGAGCUGUCAUUUGGGCAGAGGGAAGCAAUGGCAAUGAUAGGUUUGCAUCAAGAAGAAACAACUCACCUGAUGACAGUAGACAGAACAGAUGUGAAUUUCAGUGGGCUGAAGAUAUCCCAAGAGGAUUCACUGGGGAGCCACACGGUAGUAGUCACAUGGAAACUGCAAAUUUCAGUGAGAAAGAUUCUAUAAGGCAAUGGCAAAAGUCAAGUUUGGAGGGCCUGGGGUGUGGCACAGAAGUAUGUGGUAUGUAAAUUGAGCCACCUUGAGGGACAGUUUCAAAUCACAUGUUAUUUGUCUAUGAAUCCAAUUGUCUCAUCACUUAUAAACUGUUUGACCUUCAUCAAACUUGUUAACCUCUCUCUGCCUGUUUCUUUAUCUGUAAAACAAUAUAGUACUUGUUUAAAGAUGAAUGGACAUAUUUCAUGCAAAGAUGUAAAGUGCUAAGAAUAGUUUGUGGCAUACAGUAAGUGCUGAAUAAUGACAUCUAUUAGUAUUUUUGUUACCGCUAUUAUUACAUACUUUGUUCUUUUUUUUUUCCCCAGGCUAGGGGGUCUAAUCAGAGCUGCAGCUGCCAGCCACAGCUGCAGCCACAGCCACACCAAUGAGUGAUCCAAGUGGUGUCUGUGACCCAUACCAUAGCUCACAGUAACACUGGAUCCUUAAGCCAUUGAGCAAGGCCAGGGAUCGAACCCACAUCCUCAUGGAUACUGGUCGGGUUCAUAACCCAUUGAGCCACAGUAGGAACUCCUGCACUUUGUUCUUGUUCCCUCUUCUUACUAAAGCCAACCUAAUGAAAUUUUAUUACCAUGAUUUAUUUGGCCCCUAACUUUUUUAUAUUACUUCUAAAUUGUUAUGUUAUCACCACUUCCUUCUCUGACAACUUCCAUAAUCCACAUAUGUUGCAAUUUAACAUUGCAUAUGUUCUCACCCUAUGCCUAUACAUUGAAUCAAUUCCAUCCUAGCUCUAUAAAUCCUCAUCAGUGAACAGACUGAUCAACAGCAUAGGUUUCUAUGCCUUGCCCAUCUGGUUUUCUGCAUAGUCUUUCCAUCCUAACGUUUUGGUUAUUUAUCUCCUGGAAUUUAUACCCUAACUAUUUUAUAAAAAAAAGGCAUUGAGGCAGUAAACAUCAGUAUCAAAAAUCUAGCAGUGUUUUCCAAAGGAGUUAAAUUGCCAUAUUAAAGAGCUAGAUUGCAUGUGAAAUUCUUUGCCUGAGAGUGAGAGUUACUGAACACUGGAGAGGGUUGCCAGGUUGUUUUAACUAAGACACCAGAGCUUUAGUCUCACAUAUUUAUAUCCAAGUGGUAUGUGGGCAUAGGGCACAAAACUCAGACCUGCAGUAAGCAAGGACCCUUAUCACAGGUCAUAUGAUAUCAAAAUAUCCCCUUUAAUAAGGUCAUUGUAAUAAAACGCAGAUAACAGAAUAGGAUUGACA